GCUGAACCACUUCGGUGGGGAUGAGUGGCGAACGGGUGAGUAACACGUGGGUAAUCUGCCCUGCACUCUGGGAUAAGCCUUGGAAACGAGGUCUAAUACCGGAUAUCACUUCUCUAGGCAUCUAGAGUUGUUGAAAGUUCUGGCGGUGCAGGAUGAACCCGCGGCCUAUCAGCUUGUUGGUGGGGUAAUGGCCUACCAAGGCGACGACGGGUAGCCGGCCUGAGAGGGUGACCGGCCACACUGGGACUGAGACACGGCCCAGACUCCUACGGGAGGCAGCAGUGGGGAAUAUUGCACAAUGGGCGCAAGCCUGAUGCAGCGACGCCGCGUGAGGGAUGACGGCCUUCGGGUUGUAAACCUCUUUCGCCAGGGACGAAGCGCAAGUGACGGUACCUGGAUAAGAAGCACCGGCUAACUACGUGCCAGCAGCCGCGGUAAUACGUAGGGUGCGAGCGUUGUCCGGAUUUAUUGGGCGUAAAGAGCUCGUAGGCGGUUUGUCGCGUCGGCCGUGAAAUCUCCACGCUUAACGUGGAGCGUGCGGUCGAUACGGGCAGACUUGAGUUCGGUAGGGGAGACUGGAAUUCCUGGUGUAGCGGUGAAAUGCGCAGAUAUCAGGAGGAACACCGGUGGCGAAGGCGGGUCUCUGGGCCGAUACUGACGCUGAGGAGCGAAAGCGUGGGGAGCGAACAGGAUUAGAUACCCUGGUAGUCCACGCUGUAAACGUUGGGCGCUAGGUGUGGGCGACAUCCACGUUGUCCGUGCCGUAGCUAACGCAUUAAGCGCCCCGCCUG
rnacentral:rRNA from 1 species